GGCUCACAAUGCCCGAUACCAACUGAUUUAUUUACCAAGCAGUUUCCACCCUGAACAUAGACACGGCACCUCAUUACAGGUGCCUUAAUCUGCCUUCCCUUAAAGUUGCCCACGUGGGGAUUUUUCAUCUCCGAAUUCUUCAAAAUUCGCUCAAGGCUGUUGUCCCACUUCCUUAUGGUAGGGUGUCUUUAGGUAAUAUGGACAAAAAACUCAAAGUCACUUUCAACGUCAUGAAUGGCAUCUCCUCAUGGACCUCUUGCUGAUGUAAGGUCUGCCUCCAAGGCAGGACUUGAGGAGCAAUGCCAACCCUUCAGGGUCUGAAGGAGGGCCCAGCAACCCGUUGAGUCCCUGCUGAGCACAUCUAAGGUCCAUGGACCUCAGAGGCCAUCCUUGGAAGUUUCAGAAAAACAAAUUGUUGACUGCUGAUAGAGAGGGAGCUGAUCUGAACAUGAGGGGUUGUGAAAUGUCCUGUUCUUAAGGGUGGUGAGGGGCAGAACUGUGCUGGGAUCUGGGGAGAUGACAUACUGGGGCAGGGGGGCUGCACUUUGUGGCUUCUCAGGAGCUGUCGUUCCCAAGAGAAGCCAGCCUGGAAGAAAUAAGAAGCAACCUGUUUGUGCAGUUAUUUCUUCACAAUGGAUGUUUUGCAGGAGAGGAUGUGAAGGUGUGCAUUUCCAUGAAGAACCUCUCUUGUGAAUAGGGAAUUUGCAGUAAUUAAUAACUCCAGACUGUUUCUUGGGAGGGGAAAUCCAAAUCAUACAAUGACAGAAAUAUGAGCACAACAAUUCACUUCCUUUCCCACAACUGUAGCUUUUCUUUAAUGAUCUGUCAAUACUGGCUGCAAAGUCAUGGAUGAACUUCAGCGGGUUUUGUCUGAAAAUCAUACAAAACUCUAGCUGUUUUCUGAAAUCAACUAUUGUCUAAAGUACCUUAAUUUACCAGCUCUGCUCUGCUCUAUAGUUUGAUUGCAUUUGUCAAGUGGAGGGCAAAAGUGUCGGAGGAACACUAGGAAAAAACCACAAUAAUACUUGACUCUAAGGGAGGGCAGUAGAUGAAAUGGAGAUAGAAAAGAACGAGACUAAACUAGAAUAAUUUCAUAUUAUUUGAGAACUGCCAGCUUCCAUCAUUGUACUGCAAAUCUUACAGCAUUUGAUUUUUUUUUUCUGGAAUCCCCUGAGAGAAUACAAGGCUCACUUCCAUAGACAUAAAUGUCUUGUUGUUCCAAGGAAGACAGUGAAAAUAACUGUACAAAUCUAAACUCCAAACAAAUAGAAGGUGGCAAACAAACAGACCAAACACCCUCCAAACUUAUCUCCUACUCACUAUCCUCUUCCCUCAGGAAUUAUAUGUGAAGAAUGGCAGCUUGAAAUACGUGAUAGCAAAAUUAAAAUGGUAGCUUGGAACUCUGCGGAAAGAUGAGAUCUACGGAAAAUUGAACUUUUGAGCAUUUUUGCAUAGAUAUUUAAGAAAGGCUGAGAAUGUUUAUUUAGAUUGGUUAAAAUGCUAAAGCCUGAAAGGCAAACCAACUGAUGAAAGAUAUUCAGCUUUAAAGUAUGCAAAACCAAAACUAAGGAAACGUAAUCAUGUUUUAUUGAAAAGCACACACAUACACCCUCUGUGAUGAAUAAUAUAAGCUCAGUGAAAAUCACUUACUCUCACUACAACGAAGACUGAACUCGUGGAGUUGGUGACGCAGCUGCCGAUUCCUCAUUCUCAUAGAAGACCAUCUGCUCUUGAAUCUCAGCUUGGAUGUUUGCAGACACGUUUUUAGCAUUUUUGAACAUGUAUAUCUCCUGGUGCUUCCCUAACAUGCCGCUUGGAAAACCACAGUCCCAGGAUGGCUGCGUUUUCUCUCUCUUAAAGGACAGGUAGUAAUUAAAGUGUCAUUAAGUUUCAUAGAUAAACCCCCCUGAGUUAAAAGGGUCAGACCGCCUCUUUCAUGAUGUUGCUUCUCUCCAGAUGCAAGAACACACAAGAUCAAAUCUCGUCAAGAAGGUUUUAUUCAUAAGGAGUCAGACAUGACAUCUUCUAAAGGAAGAUAAUUCUGAGGGGACUGAUGAGGUCACUAAAGAAAUACUGACACAGAGCAUUAGCAAGGGCCAGUCUGAUCUGACCUCUGCCUGUACCAUUGAAUAUUGUGGGAUUGCUUUUAAUAUUGACUGUUCUUCAGGGAGCAAGAGGUCACAAUCUGCAUUUUUCAUACCAUAUGUGAGUGGUUUGCAGAUGACUGAUGCCUGCUGAUCUUUGGGGCUGCAUGGAUCACUUGUAGUGAAAGCCACCAUGUGUGAUGAAAAACAACUCUUUGCUAACUCAGGACUGCUAUAGGUGAAAAGGUUAUUAAACAUGACUGAGUUCGUACUGAGAUGAUCUAGGGGCAUUCACGUGAUCUGUUAAGGAAACUGAAGGUAUGGGGUAGGGCCAAACAAUGGCAGAAGAAUCUUAAAAUUACUCAGAUUACAUCUGUGAGAGUACCUCCACCUUUGAAUUAGCAAAGCAGCCAUGCAAUAACCAGUCUUCUUUUCCUCUGGAAAAUCGCUGCCAAACUCUGAAGGUCCAUCUUAUAUGACUAUUAGUUUGUCCUGCUGCUGCAUCUUGUAGGGUUUACCUUGCAAACCCUAUGUCUUUGACAAUCUUUAACGCCCAUAAGUUUAAGAUCCUGACACUGAGAAAGGUCCACUCAUGGUUACAGUAUGAUGAAAGGAAGCAAUAUAUUUGCAAGCUAGAUUACAACAAACCUAUUUCCUCUAGCAACUAAAUUUCACUCAAGAAGGCAAGUAGCCUAAGAAAUCUCUCAAAAUAUCUCUUAAAGGACCAUAAUGGCUAUUGGAAACUGUAUGGUGGUGCUAAGACCUCCACCAGCAUCUGGAGUGGAUGUAGAAAGUAUGCUGCUCCAUACCAAUGUCAGCCGAGGCUUCACAGCAGCCUGAUGGUGGUACCAACAAAUCACCCUCGGUGACCUUGGUCUUUGUCAGUCCAGAUAAACUUUGUCCUGUUUUAUGUCCCUUUGCUGCCACAUGGACAGUGUCACAGCCAGAGGAGAGGAUGGAGCUCAUGGACUUUUCUCAGUUAGGACAACUGACCAAGGUGGUUUCUCCUACCUUUGGUUUGACUCCCUGUCCAUUUCUAGCCCAUUCUGGGCUUUUUCUAAGUACCUGAGUAACUUCAUUCUCAGUGACAUUUACAGGACAAUCCCUGUUGAUUAGUGACACUCCGCUUUAGCAACUCUCAUCUGUGAAACCAUGAACCACCCAACUCAUGACAGAUCCUGAGGAGGAAACAGCAGCCUCUCUAACCAGCCUGAGGACCAGCAACACAGGUAUUUCCAAAUGAAAGGAGCACAGCUCUUGCAACUCUGCCAGGAAGCACAAACAUGGAGCCAGGCCUUUCUACCCAGAUCAACAGCUGCACCUUGCCAACAGAAGUAUCAGUUUCAUCAUUCUCCUCACUGGAGCAAUUUCAUCCCUUCUGAUCAGCUGGGGAGGGAAUGGCCACGUCUCAGCACAGGAAGACUUGGGAUGAAUUUGUCACUCUCUAAACAUGUUGUACACAUAGGAACCAGUACUGCACAGCACACCUGUGUGGUCCCCAGAAAACUCAGGUGCUUCCUCUAUUUACUCUGCAUCUUUGUUCAAAGAUGCAUUAAAGCAUCUCUUCCUACCUGCAAAUCAGAACUUCUUUCAGGCAUGGCGUUCAUGUGCUUUAAAGCAAUCAUCCCUUACAUCUGUAUGGAAGGAGGAAAAAGUAUCUGGUCCUAAAUCAUCAGGGCAAUUCUGGAAGAAAUGCACGUGUUCGAAAAGAGGCUAAGAAGAACAUGAAGAUAAGCGGUGUAAUUCAAGCAGACUUAAACCUAGUGCUGGAAAGAUGAAGAAAAGGUGCAAUGCGCCUUGAUUUUAUUCAGGAAGAAAGGAGUAUAGCUGACACAAACGGAUUCCCUUUGCAUUUGGCACCAUAUGACUAUCGGUAUGAAAAGUCCAGAAGGAGAAAAUAAAUCACUGCUCUUUCAAUACACUUGUAUUUGUGCUAACCUGUAAAACAUAUGUAAAAGUCUGCUGCUGUAUUUUGUGAAUGAAGAAGUAAGAGCAACCAUUUGGUAUAAAUGGAUAGCUGAAGGUUAGGAAUAAUUUUUGCCUUGGACCACCAUGGAGAUAUACAUUAUUAAGGGAGUGUGCCCCUCCUGAGCUGGAAAACUCUUUCCAGCUUGCUAAUGAUUUUCUCAGAUUUAAUAAUACAGGCUGAAAUUUCCAUUCUGGAUGUCUGCUUGAGGCCAAUUAUUCCCCUCACCCUCUAAAUUCAAACAAAAGUUAACGUUAUUUAUGAGAGUAAAAUGGGAGGGUAGUGAGGGGAGGGUACUGAAGGCAUUUUUCAAUAUUCCCAGUAAUCUGCAAAGUUGUAGCAACCUCAGGCCAUCAAGCAACGACUUGGAAGUUGUUAAGUAUGAUUAUGCACAAUAAUUACUCUGUAGUGUUUUGCUUUUCUAUGGAAAUCCACUCAGUUAAACUGUAGAUCUUUGCAAAAAAUAUUAAAGUUUGCCUUUGUUUGGUAAAGACAGGGUAUGAUUAUCUAAUUUCUUGGCCCCAGCGAGCAAUCUUGAACUUCUAAUAUCUCUUGAAGUUCAUCAGAUUGCACACAUAUUGUCUUCUUAGAGCAAGAGACCAUGUUUCCUCCUGCUUAGAAAGGUUCGUCUUGUAGUGCUUGCUCCGAUGUGCUUCUCUAACUGGGAUUUAAUGAAAGCAAAGGCAAGGGCACGAAAUGAAGAAGAAAACAAAGUCUAGAGCAAGAGGACAACUUGGAGGUGGUAGGAAGAGAAGAUGCUUGGGGAUCAGGAGAAAGCAGGGACAGCUGGGAUUAGCUGAGGAAUUGAAGAAAACCUGGAGUCAAUAAGGAAAAGGUAUGGAGGGCAGAAAUGUGUCUAGCUGGACAAAAAAUAUGAAAAAAAGGACCCAGACUGGAGAAGAAGGCUUGGAUCUGAUAAGACAAUUUGUGAGGGAGGGUUAGUGGGAAUGGGGAAUAACCAUGAGGGUUAGUGGGAAUGGGGAAUAACCAUCAGUGGGGCAUGGCUGAAAAUCUGGGAGGGAGAGACAGGUGGACAAGGGGGAGUGAAAGCUUAUGCCAGCAGGGCAGGGUCACAGCAGGACACAAUGGCACAAGUUAGUUGCUGCAGUUUCCCAAGGAAUCUCGAACCAUCUCCUAACUUUAAAGCGCGUGACCAUGAUGCUUAUUAUUACUAAUUCCAUCUUUUUUUUUUUUUUUUUCCUAAUUACCGUAUUAAAAGCGAAACAAAAGAGAGUUUCUUGAGGCAACAGCAACAUCUCUCACAGAAAUCUCCCAGGAUUUCUUGCAGGAAGCUGUAUUUAAUGCUGUGGUUGCUGAUGUGCAAUAAUGGGUCAACAGCAGGUCAAGAAUCAGAGCACAUGGGGUACAGCAUGGAAGGCUUGCUACCAUAUGCCAGUGCAGCAUGUUUGGUAUCUAGGACAGCUAAUAGCAGCAGACUUGUGAGCAGGCACUUGGAGAUGUGAAUAAGUCACAGUAUCCACUAAACACAAAGCUCGUUGGCUUGGUGAGACAAAGCCACAAUAACACAGGCUGUUCAAAAGGGAUUCCACGUCAGAGCCUCAACAGUCAUGUCCCUAUAGCACAGAGUGAUGGUUCUGGCUGGAUUUCUUGGAAGCACAAGGCAUGGGAAGUCUGUUCAACAGUACAAGUGGAGAAAUAUUUGCUAAGAUUUGUACAAAGCGUAAGAGCAGGCUAACCCAGAAACCAAACCCCAUUAUACCCUGUGGUGCUCACGACUGAGGGGCUGAGCAGAGGAGCCCUUGUCCUGUAAGAGCAGAAUGUGACAGGCUGAUCAAUUCACCGCAGCAUCUACAAGAAAUACAGCAAAGGUGAAGCUGACAUUGAACACUGUAACAACACACUAAAACAGAAAUACAAUAAAAAACCAAAAAGGUUAUUUUUUUUCUCCAGUUGGAACAGCAGUUGAAUAAGCAGUUUGUAAAGUAAAACAGGACUGGAACUGAGGUCCAUCAGACCUCACUGGGGCAGCCUGCUCCAGGAUAUACGAUUUAUAGACACUACAUAGCAGGUUCACUCUCAGAUUAGCAUCCGUUCCAGCUUGACACAAGUACAAAUGAGCAGUCUGCAUGCAGAUGCUUUCUGGAGUCUUUCUGGGUUUGGGUACUAAGCAUGACCAAAAGUGACAUAUUGAGAGCAUGCUAGCACUCCAAAAAGGAUCUGAAAACUAGGCAAAGAUUAUUCUUUGCUGGACAUGGAUUUCAAUUCUGAGAGCAUCAGUUAAGCAGUACGGAUUUUUCUGGGAGUACGGAAGUGGCACAGUCCAAUUUGAAUCCCAAACAGGAUAAAUUUACUCUCACAGAAUUAUCUGAGAAAAUGUCAAACUAGAUACAGAUGGAAGAUACUAUCAACAAGGCUGGUUGCAUAAAUAUCUACCAGGUCUCUACUGGGAGGGAUUUAUGGCUCCCAUGAGAUCCCACAAAUUCAUUAUUAUCACUACAAAACUGAUGAGCAUCAAGUCAGCUAAGCUGUGCACUUGAUGUACAGUUACAUCUUCCAAAGCAGAGUGGCCAUAACUUCCAACCAACAGCAAUUGGUUUUGCAGGAAAUGAAAAAAGAACUGAUUUUAGUUCUUACCCAUGGGGAAGAUGAGCAGGUGUACUCAAGCUCAAUAGGCAAACUGAUAUGGGAGAAUAUAGAUAUAGAUAUCCCUUAGUGACCACAGCCAGAGCAAUCAUAUUUUUAGUAAAUCUACUUGCAAAGCUAAAACUGCAGAUUGAAGAUGGUGAUAGCUGCUGAUCUGGGUUCCAGUCACCAAACUGGAAGUCUUCGUAUGUGAGGAAAGAAACAAAAAAUACUUCUCCAUGCCAACAGCAGAGGUUCUACUGAAGUAUCUCAUGCUGUUGGUCAUGGCAGCAGGUUGAGAGUCUGGAUGGUGAGAGUCUGGAUGGAGACAGAGGCAGAUCCAGCUGCCAGAGGAGCCCUGACUCACAGCCACAUCUGGCUCUUGGCUUAGACUGUAAAUGCUGUCGUGAAAUACAGCUGACCUUUAAUGAACGUGUCUUCUCUGUAUACAUAGUGUCAGUCACAGCAAAACCCUGCUGGCUUGUGGGGUCGUGUUGGUCUUCAGCGAUUACGGUAAUAAAUGUGAUUAACUGCAGCUAUAAAAAGCAAUUUCAUUCUGACUGCUAACCUCACAAAAGAAAAAGAGAAUUAAAUAAACCAAGGAAUGGGCUGCAAUAUGACAUUUUUACAUCCAUGUUGGUUUAUCUUCCACCUUUGGACUGUGAAUCUGACGGCUUGUAAUGGGAACAACAGCUGUUUUUGCACAGUUGGAAUUUGCUAUCGCUGUUCUGCGGGACAGAGGUGCUGCAGGGAAUUCCCAUUACAGAAAGGAACUGCAGCGUUUCUCCAAGAUUGUUGUAACCAUUGUAAAAUAUUGGUGACUUAAUUGUUUUGCUGUGUAUCAAAGCAACUGGGGUCAUUGGCGAAAGCAACUGAAAGCCGAUCUUGCAUCCUCCAGUGACAAGUAACCUCUGCUGAAUGCACAGAGUUGCAAAGGGUAGGGCUGAAAUUAAUCCUGAAUUUACUUAAUCUAAAAUACAGGCUCUUUAGAGGACUCUGUUGCUGAGGCUUAGAGUGUAUAAUGUCAUGAACACACAUCCAGUAGUCACUGCAUGGACAAUACAGCCCUGUGUAGUUUUCAGAAAACUCUGACCAAACUAAAAUUCAAACACAGUAUUUGCGAUUAAUAUUUCUUUUUUUUUUUUGUAGACUUCUAAUCAUCAGCUGAACAUGAUGUACAUCUUCGAUCAUCUUGAAGAAUUCACUUAAGAUAAAUCAUUUUUUUCAAGACCUUUUUUAAUUUAGGAGAAAAUGCUGUAACAAUAUCCAGUGGCUGAUAGCUGAGGUUUGCAAUAUAAGUUGAGAUGCAUAUUUUUAACAGGAAUAAUUAAUUAUUGGAACAACUUACCCAAAGAUGCAGUGGCUUCUCCAUCAGCUAUAGCCUUUAAAUUAUUUUAGAUUUUUCUGAAGGCUUGGACACUUCAAUGAUCAAUGUUUGAAGUGAAGACAGGAACCAAGAUCUGCAGUAAUUUCCUGUGAACUAUGGGUCUUUUCGCUGAAGACAGGAUUUUCUCCAUGCCUUUUGUAGUUUUUAUAGCCCCAUUUGCCAAACUUUGUAUGCCAUUCUCUUAACUUUACAAACAAAGCUGUAUUUAUCGUGUCUUAAAUUAAAGGGAAACUUGAAUAGACACUUCAUACGAAGUAUUCACAGCUGCAUAAAUCAACUCAAAGAGAAGAUUAGGUGUUUAUUAGCAAGAAAACAUAAGCUGUAGGAGUAUGCUUUGUACCUUAAUUUCUUUGUGCUUCUCUUGUAAAACAUUAAGGAUGUCCUAGGAUAUGAGGUAAUUAGGCAGAUAGUGUAUUACAGGCAAAUAAAUGCCACAUACUCCCUCCUCUCUGGACAGCUUGUAAGUCACUGUUUAUUUCCUCACUACAAUACAGGUUUUUCUACAAAGGCUGCACUGCUCUGAUAUGGAAGUUUUAGAAAUAAUUAAAUGUCAGAAUUUA